CUAAUACUAGCCGAAGCCAACUAACUCUCUCUCUCUCUCUAUAUAUAUAUAUUAAAAUUCUAAAUUUUUAAUUUUCUUUCAAUUUUUCAUCUGAUAGUAGAACUGAUAAUCUAACUUAUUAUUUCCCAACUAGCUUGUGUUCGGCUCAUAAACAAACAAUUAAAAUUUUCAGCUUAAUAUUUUAACGAGCCAAUUCGUAUUCAGCUUGUUUAAUAAACGAACAAAUAUGAGUCAGGCUUAACCCGCUUGUGCUCAGCUCGUUGACGGUCCUUAUUAUAAGUUAUGAAUCAAUUUUAUAUUAAAAUUAAUUGUACUAAUAUCAUCUACACUAC
rnacentral:lncRNA from 1 species